rnacentral:tRNA from 6 species
CGGGGUAUAGUAUAACGGAAGUACGCAUGCAUGGGGUGCAUGUAGCGGCGGUCCAAUUCCGCCUACCCCGA